GCGCAGCAGGCGCGAAACCUCCGCAAUACACGAAAGUGUGACGGGGCCAUCCCGAGUGCCGUCCGCUGAGGACGGCUUUUCCCCAGUGUACACAGCUGGGGGAAUAAGGAGAGGGCAAGCCUGUGUCAGCCGCCGCGGUAAUACCAGCUCUCCGAGUGGUGGGGACGCUUAUUGGGCCUAAAGCAUCCGUAGCCGGCUGGGCAAGUCCUCCGUUAAAUCCAACGAUUCAAUCGUUGGGCUGCGGGGGAUACUGUCCAGCUUGGGGGCGGGAGAGGCCGACGGUAUUCCCGGGGUAGGGGUGAAAUCCUAUAAUCCCGGGAGGACCACCAGUGGCGAAGGCUGUCGGCUAGAACGCGCCCGACGGUGAGGGAUGAAAGCUGGGGGAGCGAACCGGAUUAGAUACCCCCGUAGU
rnacentral:rRNA from 1 species